CUCCAUCUGGGUCAGUUUUCUUUCAUCAGCUGGCCUGAGAACAUCCGAGGGUAUUCAGACUAUACUGAAAAAAAGAAAAGGAGGGGAAUAGCAAGAUAAUCGGGUAUAUCGCAGCCAUGCACCUCAAAAAUUAAGUUUUCCAACCUUCUUGCUUAAAUACAGGAAACUGCGAUUUGUCUUCCAGAAUUUUUUCAUUGCUGAGCCUCAGCUCCUCUCUGAUAUAAACUCCUUAUGUGAUCUCCAUCAAAUGCACAGCUUCAGGACAUCUAAGAUAAGAAUUAUAAACACAGAUUCUGAUACUUUGCAAAGCCUAAGGAAAACUGACCUAAACGAAAAAGGGAGGAUAUUACGUAGAUCCUGCUCUUGAAGGAGCCGCCCACAGCUUAGAAGACAGAUGAGAAGAUCAUCAUCACAGAUUUGCUGUGAACAGCUCUGCUCAGCUCUGUCCCUGCCAGACUUGGGGCCACACAUACCCUUCUAAGAGGGCUAAAGAAGAUUCACAAAGAGCACUGCUUCUUGCUCCAGCUUUGGCAAGAGCAGAGGAUGAUUUUGUCUUUCGGUAACUUGAAACCUUCCUGUAGUGCUGAGAACUGCUCUCAAUAGCAAAGUUGUUAUCAUCAUCAUUACACCUAACAUUUACUGAGCAUUUACUACGUGCCAGGCACCAAUUGCUUUGCAUCUCAUCUUAUCUUCACAGUAAUCCCAUGAGUAAUAUAAUUACCCAAAUUUCAUGGAAGAAGAAAGCGAGGCCAAAAUUUGCCCAUGGUUACAAAAAAAUGAAUUAUCAUUCAUCUUUUUCAAGAGGAGAAUAUUAUAAAUUUACUAUGCUACUCAUAAAUGCCUUUCUGCCAGAUUAAUAGAAAACCUUUAGACGCUGGACUUGUAACUUAUUCUGGGAUAUGGUCUUCCACAAACAAUUGGAGUCAUCAGUGUUCAGUGGAACAUCCUUUCAGUUGCAUGAAGAUGCCAAACUAGAGGAAAGAGGACACACCAUGUGAUUUCCCAAGGGCCAUCGUUUCCCAAGGGAUGGUUGUGACUGAGGGGACACAAAAACAAACAGUCUAAAACCAACAGAUAUUCCUGUCUAAAUUAUCUUUUUAUAGCACAGCAUAGCUGUAUUCAAUAUAAAACAAGGAGAGUGAUAACUGUGAAUUACAAAGCAGAAUUUUAAUCAUGAUACAUGAGUUAAUAAUACACAUGAGUUAAACUCAUGAUACAUGGAUUAAAGAAAAUAAGUGGAACCCGUUUUCAUAUUUUAUUGUCAAAAGUUUUACCAAAUAGGUGGUUUAUUUGGAAAAGUAGCACCUCUUUGAAAUUAACUCUUGAUUUGUAAAAGUUCAGAUUGUUCCUAUCUACUUGGUCAACUAAAAGUGAUUAUUUUUAUUGCUAUAAGGCAUGCAUGUUGGUCUUUGAGAAAUAUGCCACUAAUCAUGGUUAAAUUGUAUAGGCUCAAAAAUCUUUUAAGACCUGCAAGAAAAAAAACAAAAUCCAAAAAUGUUGUAAAAUUAUUUAUUAGUCUAUAAAAAGUUGUGUGGACUUUCUACAAAACCAGCAAUUGGAAAAUGACAAAAUUGUUAUUUUAUCCCUAGAGAAUCUUUACACAUUUACCUCAAAGGGAGGAAUAGAGUCAAUUACUUCUAUUUCAAAUAGAUACCCCCUUUGACAAGUAUGCAAAUCAUACUGGAACUAUACAUCUGAGCUUUUUAAUUGUGACAACUCUGAGAUACUACUUGGUAAAGAAAAUUGUGCUAUUACCUCUCCAGUCUGUUCUCAAAGGGAAUAACACUCAUGUUUCCGAGGCAGAGAGAGCACCAAGAGGUGAGGUUCUGUCCACUCCUGCUGUGGACUGAAUUGUGUUCCUCCCUCCACCCACCAAUUUAUAUGUUGAAGCCCUAAUCACCAAUGUGAGUAUAUCUGGAGAUGGAGCCUUCAAGAAGGUGAUUAAAGUUAAAAGAGGUCAUAAGGGUCCAGCCCUAAGCCAGUAGAACUGUUGCUCUUUCAAGAAGAGGAAGAGACAUCAGAGCUGUUUCUCUGCUAUUUAAGGACAUUUUGAGAAGGCAGUCAUCUGCAAACCAGGAAAACAGCUGUCACCAGAGUCCAACCAUGCUGGCAACCUGAUCUUGGACAUCCAGCCUCCAGAACUGUGAGAAAUACAUUUCUGCUGUGUAAGUCACCCAGUCUAUAGUAUUUUGAUAUGGCAGCCCAAGCUAACAUAACCCCUUAAGUAACCUAACCAAAAAUUAUUAUUAUUUUUUCAGCAAAUAAGGAGAAAGAAAAAAUGUUUUAUAAGAUUUUAAUUUUUGUAGUGUUUCCUGGGUGGGUCAGGCAGUUAAGCAUCCAAAUCUUGAUCUCAGCUCAGGUCUUGAUCUCAGGGCCCUGACUUCAAGCUCUGAAUUGAGCUGCAUGCUGGACAUGGAAUCUACUAUUUAAAAAAAAACGAUUGUAAUUUUUAUAAGAAAAAAUGUGAAUAAAACCAUCUUUGAAAAUUGA